rnacentral:lncRNA from 1 species
CCCAGUGUCACGGCCGUUGUAGGUUCUGGAAGGAACAGAAAGCAGUCAUACACAGUGAUGGACACAUAGCAGGACUUAAAAAUGCUUGCUCUGCAACACGAAGACAACGACUGAAUGACCCCACUUCCAUGAGGUAUCUAGAGUAACCAAACUCAUAGAAACAGAAGCUAGAAGGCGGUUGCCGGGGUCCAGGGGGAGGAAAAUGGAGAACUGUUGUUCAAUGGUGAUGGAAACGCUUUGGAGAUGGGUUGUAUAACAGUGUGACUAUACUUAACACAACUGAGCCGUGCACUUAAAAAUGGUUGAUGGAAGCCCUGAAACUCUGUACGUCUAUUACGCAUCAUUAAAAAUAUUGCUCAAAAAA